UCAAUAGUAUUUUUUUUUAGCCAUGUAUUUUCAGACAACCGAACAGCCGGCUCGGAGUAGUAAGAAAAAUGAGAUCGCCUCACGUUUGACAAAAACUUUUACUAGUGACACAUAAUGCUUGCACCCAGCCUGGUACCAACCUAGAUGAACACGAACGGAUAUGUCUAUCCGCGCUGUGCUGUGCAAGCAGUGGCGCACUGGCGCGGCCGCUCUGGGGUCGACGAACGGAUCUCUGGCCACAGAUUACGGCCGCGUCAAAACAAGAUGAGGCGGCGCAAGAUGAGAACAAGAGAUCUGUAAUCUUAAACCCACAUGCAGCGAUGCAGGUCAGGUGCCACCCGCGAUCCGCAUCCGCGGCCGAAUCCGGAGGGCGCGAGGGAC
rnacentral:lncRNA from 1 species